GGUUGACCUCGGAUCAGGUAGGGAUACCCGCUGAACUUAAGCAUAUCAAUAAGCGGAGGAAAAGAAACCAACAGGGAUUGCCCCAGUAACGGCGAGUGAAGCGGCAAGAGCUCAAAUUUGAAAGCUGGCUCCU
rnacentral:rRNA from 1 species